rnacentral:rRNA from 1 species
GACGAACGCUGGCGGCGUGCUUAACACAUGCAAGUCGAACGGAAAGGCCCUGCUUUUGUGGGUGCUCGAGUGGCGAACGGGUGAGUAACACGUGAGUAACCUGCCCUUGACUUUGGGAUAACUUCAGGAAACUGGGGCUAAUACCGGAUAGGAGCUCCUGCUGCAUGGUGGGGGUUGGAAAGUUUCGGCGGUUGGGGAUGGACUCGCGGCUUAUCAGCUUGUUGGUGGGGUAGUGGCUUACCAAGGCUUUGACGGGUAGCCGGCCUGAGAGGGUGACCGGCCACAUUGGGACUGAGGUACGGCCCAGACUCCUACGGGAGGCAGCAGUGGAGAAUAUUGCACAAUGGGCGGAAGCCUGAUGCAGCAACGCCGCGUGCGGGAUGACGGCCUUCGGGUUGUAAACCGCUUUCGCCUGUGACGAAGCGUGAGUGACGGUAAUGGGUAAAGAAGCACCGGCUAACUACGUG